AGAGGCUUCGGCAAUGGGGGAAACCCUGAUCUAGCCAUGCCGCGUGAGUGACGAAGGCCCUAGGGUCGUAAAGCUCUUUCGCCGGGGAAGAUAAUGACGGUACCCGGUAAAGAAGUCCCGGCUAACUCCGUGCCAGCAGCCGCGGUAAUACGGAGGGGACUAGCGUUGUUCGGAAUUACUGGGCGUAAAGCGCGCGUAGGCGGAUUAGUCAGUCAGAGGUGAAAGCCCAGGGCUCAACCCUGGAACUGCCUUUGAUACUGCUAGUCUUGAGUUCGAGAGAGGUGAGUGGAAUUCCGAGUGUAGAGGUGAAAUUCGUAGAUAUUCGGAGGAACACCAGUGGCGAAGGCGGCUCACUGGCUCGAUACUGACGCUGAGGUGCGAAAGCGUGGGGAGCAA
rnacentral:rRNA from 1 species